rnacentral:lncRNA from 1 species
CUCUUACGACUUAGAUCUCAGCAGUCAGAACAGACCAAGCUUUCACUGCUGAUGAACCGAGUGCAAUGACAACUGUGAGAAGCUUUAGCUCUACAUCACAAUGGAUUGGGAGCAGGUACAAAGCCUAUGGGCUAUCAAAGCACUUUGACCUCUGAAGUAGCGGCCGCCAUCAUCACAGUCUGUGCGUCUGUGCAAAAGGGGCAUCUUAUCCCAGAGAUAAAGUUUUGGGACACCAUGAGGUCAUCUCCUUGCUGACAGCCCAGAACGACUGUGCGCCCCAACCCCGACAGCCCAGGGGUGGAGUAAGAGGGAGGCUCGUGGAGAACCUGGUAACCCCUUCUCCCUCCAUCACUGACUGAGGC